GAAGAUGUUUAACUAAUCUGCUAAAUUAGUAGCCCAACCACGACACGUUGGCAUCCUC
rnacentral:tRNA from 1 species